rnacentral:rRNA from 1 species
AAAAGUGAAAGACGGUCUUGCUGUCACUUAUAGAUGGAUCCGCGCUGCAUUAGCUAGUUGGUAAGGUAACGGCUUACCAAGGCAACGAUGCAUAGCCGACCUGAGAGGGUGAUCGGCCACACUGGAACUGAGACACGGUCCAGACUCCUACGGGAGGCAGCAGUAGGGAAUCUUCCGCAAUGGGCGAAAGCCUGACGGAGCAACGCCGCGUGAGUGAUGAAGGUCUUCGGAUCGUAAAACUCUGUUAUUAGGGAAGAACAUAUGUGUAAGUAACUGUGCACAUCUUGACGGUACCUAAUCAGAAAGCCACGGCUAACUACGUGCCAGCAGCCGCGGUAAUACGUAGGUGGCAAGCGUUAUCCGGAAUUAUUGGGCGUAAAGCGCGCGUAGGCGGUUUUUUAAGUCUGAUGUGAAAGCCCACGGCUCAACCGUGGAGGGUCAUUGGAAACUGGAAAACUUGAGUGCAGAAGAGGAAAGUGGAAUUCCAUGUGUAGCGGUGAAAUGCGCAGAGAUAUGGAGGAACACCAGUGGCGAAGGCGACUUUCUGGUCUGUAACUGACGCUGAUGUGCGAAAGCGUGGGGAUCAAACAGGAUUAGAUACCCUGGUAGUCCACGCCGUAAACGAUGAGUGCUAAGUGUUAGGGGGUUUCCGCCCCUUAGUGCUGCAGCUAACGCAUUAAGCACUCCGCCUGGGGAGUACGACCGCAAGGUUGAAACU